UUUGCAAAGUUUGACAAUUGCCCAAAAGUUUCAAUUUUGUAUCUUACAGAUGAGGAAAGAGAUGAAAAGAAAUGAUGAUUGACCAAAGUCUGGUGGUUAUGGUUACAUAUUUUGGAUAAAACAUACCAAGUGGGCUGUGACCAACCUGUUACCCCUUCUAUGCCAUUAUCGAUGAUCAUAUGUACUAAAAGGUUUGAAAAACUAUACUCAGAGAUACAUAAUUCUUCCACAAUAUCUGAAAAGGCAGAAUACAGUACAAAGGAAAACAAAGCAGCUAGAAUUAAAGAGCACUAUGAUGUUUUUGAUCCGUGGAAAGCCUGUGUAAAGCUUAAUGGUCAAUGUAAAAAUCAAUGUGGUGAAAAUGAAUUUAAGAUGUCGUACUGUGCAAGACCUGAAACUCUUUGCUGCU